rnacentral:pre_miRNA from 1 species
UGGUGGGGAUUUGUCGCAUUACUUGUGUUCUAUGGUAAAGUAUUGCACUUGUCCCGGCCUGU